CCUUGCUCUCCAUAACGUUGUACCCUAUAUAUCGAUAUACAAGUGAUUAAAUAACAAAAUAAAGGAGGUAUAGUCAGUGGUAAUUGAGUCUGAUAAUAAUUUGAUCGCAAAAACGAUUUUAGGAAUUUUCUGGCUCGAUCUUUAUUUUUAUCUAAUAAACACAAUAUAAUGAAAUAACGGAACAAAAAUAAAAUCGAAGAAGGAAAUAUUCCGUUGUCUUCUUCGGUCUCGCGUCUACGAUGAAACCGACAAAUAUAGAGCGAAGAAUAUAGAAAGCGAUUGCAUCAUUUUCCCCGCAUAUAAAUUACUCAAUGUCCGCUUUCAAUUCGAUGCUAAGCUGCCAUUUGUAAGAGAACAGCGCAGUAGAGCGCAAAAUCCUCGCUAGUUUCGUCAGCUCAAUUUAGCAAAUUGAUCAGGAUGAUAAAACGCCUGCAGGAAUCAAAUAUCGAUCGAGAAUUUACUUCGUUGACGUCUAAUGUUUAUUCUAUGAUCUUUUAUCGUACUCUUUAUCUAAUGUGCGUGGCUGAAGUGCUGAUGCCUUCGCUAUUUAAUGCCACAGACCCAAUGCUGCUGCUGUCCUCGUCCUCGAACUCAGCUUGUUUAUACCUCGUCAUCUGAAAGAAUUUUAAUACGUAAGUCUACAAUGUAAUCGAAUAUUUUUCCGUCCUACACGAAAUGAAUAUUCGACAAUGCAACCAUGUAAAACUAACUUUCGUAAAAUGUGAUUGUAUAGAACUAAACUACCGCGUAAAUUACUUUCUCAAUUACUCGUUCUUUGAAUACGGAAUAAGGAUGCUGGUCUAUGUAAACAAAACAAGAAGAGAAAAGAAAAGAGAAAUGAAAUGAAGAUACUUGAAACUCGAUGGAAAAACUCUAAUUAUACAAAAAAUACGAUAGUAUAAGUCUUGCAAAGCUUUUGUUUUUCUUCGUCGAUGACGAUCGCAGAUCCUGUAAACAAAGAUAAGCUCAAAACUCGCUGUUCUAUCUUAAAAUAGGACGGUCGUUACUAGAACGAAUAUCUUUGCGAUUUCUCGAUACCCAUACUAAUAUAAACUCGAAACGAAACGCUUUGCCGAGUAAAAAUAGAAAAAAAAAAAAAAAUGAGAAAUACAAUUCAAUCGUUUUGUAAGUAAACAUUACUUCUUUGUUAAUUCCGCUCGGUAAAUUUGCCUGCAAUAAAUUCGUGACAACAGAAUGGUGAAAUAAAAAAACACACGCACACAUAGGACAACAAAAAUAAAAGAGAAAAAAGUGAAACGUAAAAUCGAAUUGUUUUUCCAUACAAAAAUUAUUACUGAAAUCAAAAUAAAUUUAUUUCAAAUUCGUUUCUCUAAUUUCAUACGAAUGUUCGUAAGCUCUUCGAAAAACACAGAUCGAAAACUCCCAAAGGAAGAUGCCAGUAAUGUAAUAAAACCACAUACGGCGUUCGUUAUUUUGGCAGUUCACGAAAACGCCAAAUUUACAGCGACUUGUUCUAAUUUAGACGCAGUCUAAAUAUAUAAACCUCUAUAUCUGCUGUAACAUGUACGAGCUCGGAAUACUCGAUAGUGGCAGGUCGUACUUUUCAGUAUUGUUGAAAUAUUAUAUUACAUAUCUUGGUUCAUCAUCGAACCUGUUAAAGUUCAAAUCGAAUACCAAUUCGAUUGUGCGGUUUUUUGUCUCAUUUCAUCCGACCAAUUGAAAAAUACACACACACACACACACACACACACAGAGGAAUGCGCGCGCGCGCACUCACACAUAUGCAUACAAAUAUUGCCCUUGUUAUUUCGGAUAAUUGCACGAGUUACGCGUUUCAAUCGCUCGAAAAAUGAUCCCUGUUUUUCAUAUAUACAAAAAGAGUUGACAAAUAUGUAUUUAUGUUUACGUAUAUGUAUGUGUGUAUGCUUAUAAUAUCGGAAGAUUGCGAUUUAUGACGUUUCAUUGGUUCGAUUUUCCAAGAAAUCUAUUUCAUUUUGUUAAGUAAAUAUUGCAAAAAUGAUUUCGUAAUGGAUGGUUCCCAGUAAAAUAGAGAAAAAAGAGAUGUCACUGAGAUAAAAAUAAUUGCUAAAACCAAUUUUGCAUUAGACGUGAUAGUGUUCUACGAUGUGCUUGGUUGAAUAAUAUGCUUGACAUUAAUGCCUGAUCGUUGACUAAACAAACAAGCGAGCCAUGACACAGUUCCAUGUGUUGCGAAUAGUCCAUAUGAUUUGAAAAAAUAAUCAGACAGAUGCAAUGUCCCGCAAGCAAAGUAACAUGUUUACAUUGAAUAUAUGUAUAUACUUAUUUACGUAUCUGAGUAUGUAAAAAUGUACUCUAAUUUUUCAUUCCAUUGGUCUAAACAUACGCUUUUUACCUAACUUUUUACUCUCUCUAUUUUCAUUUUCAUGAUCCCGUACAACUAUUUACCUAAGAAAUGAGCGAGUACAAUCCCCUUAAUACCUAACUUUUAUUUUAAUUUUAAACGUGUUAUCUCGAAGCACCGCGAUAUGUUUAAUUUUGCAAAGACUCAUUCGUACGAUCGAUACGCAAUCUCGUUAUCGCCCGUUGUCCAUGGAUACCUAGAUUCGUGAUAGUCGUAAAAAUGGAAAGCAUAUAAAAAUGAUAUCGAGUGAUAUCAAGUACUAAUAGCAUAGAAAAACAAUAUUGAUGCUAAUGAAUACAGCAGUGCAUAAAUAAUUGCAUUACUUUAUCUUAUCGUUCUUAUUAUAAAUAUUAUUCUUAUCGAGAUCUCUAAAUAGAAGACAAAAUUUGUAUUCUUUACAUUACUCGACUUCUCUAAAUAAAUGUAUGUAAAUUUGUUAUAUAAUAAUAACAAUAUAUAUGUAUAACAUAAUGUGUUACAUACAUAUAACAUAACAACAAUAACAAUAAUAAUAAUGAUGAAUGAUGAACAUUCUAAUCAUAUAAAAUAUUAUUCCAAAUAAAAUAUGAUUCAUUUACUGUCAAAGAUUUCAAGCAAUUUUGUUAUUCUCAAUUUUUUGUAAAAAAAAAAACAAAUCCUUUAUAAAUUCAAUUAAUGAUAUUUGGAUGAAUGUGAGCUAUAAUUUCUUUUUAUUGUCCGUACGCUUUUACAUUCCUAAGUCCUUAGAAUUCCUUUUAGUUUAUUUAUUUAGUUUUAAUAAUCAUUUGUCAUAACAAAUAUUAACUUCAAUAAGGAAUCUGCGAUUGACGACUGAAUUUAAAUUCGAAGCUGCCGUUUCGAAAAAUACUUCAUUAUAUGUACGAAUGACUCCAUUCGUUCUCGCGAAAAGAAACCUUCAGUUCGUGUUAUAUAUAAAUAUUAUAAAAUAAAAAAGAACAACUGAUGAAGAA